rnacentral:rRNA from 1 species
UACGUAGGGUGCAAGCGUUGUCCGGAAUUAUUGGGCGUAAAGAGCUCGUAGGCGGUCUGUUGCGUCGGCUGUGAAAACCCGGGGCUCAACUCCGGGCCUGCAGCCGAUACGGGCAGACUAGAGUUCGGCAGGGGAGACUGGAAUUCCUGGUGUAGCGGUGAAAUGCGCAGAUAUCGGGAGGAACACCAGUGGCGAAGGCGGCCUUCUGGCUCAUAACUGACGCUGUAGCGCGAAAGCGUGGGGAGCGAACCGG